CCUACGGGAGGCAGCAGUGGGGAAUAUUGCACAAUGGGCGCAAGCCUGAUGCAGCGACGCCGCGUGAGGGAUGACGGCCUUCGGGUUGUAAACCUCUUUCAGUAGGGAAGAAGCGAAAGUGACGGUACCUGCAGAAGAAGCGCCGGCUAACUACGUGCCAGCAGCCGCGGUAAUACGUAGGGCGCAAGCGUUAUCCGGAAUUAUUGGGCGUAAAGAGCUCGUAGGCGGCUUGUCGCGUCUGCCGUGAAAGUCCGGGGCUCAACUCCGGAUCUGCGGUGGGUACGGGCAGACUAGAGCGAUGUAGGGGAGACUGGAAUUCCUGGUGUAGCGGUGAAAUGCGCAGAUAUCAGGAGGAACACCGAUGGCGAAGGCAGGUCUCUGGGCAUUAACUGACGCUGAGGAGCGAAAGCAUGGGGAGCGAACAGGAUUAGAUACCCUGGUAGUCCAUGCCGUAAACGUUGGGCACUAGGUGUGGGGGACAUUCCACGUUUUCCGCGCCGUAGCUAACGCAUUAAGUGCCCCGCCUGGGGAGGUACGGCCGCGAGAACGUAAACGUACAANAGUAGUUAGAGGCGUUGNGACGNGCCGACGGACGACGACGAGGGAGGAGG
rnacentral:rRNA from 1 species